UCCUUUUCCGCUGCCUUUAUUACUGUGGAAAGCUUCAGUUUUCCAUGUUUCCCUUUCCAAACCGGGCUGUUGGGGCAGGUUUGCAGCAGGGGAGGCCAGGGGAGGAUGAGGAUGAGGAUGGUGUUUUGGGAUAUCCCGGUGUUUUGGGAUGAACCGGUGCUGUAAUGGUGCGAGCAGGCCGGGCGCUGCUGUCACUGGGGGCUUGUUGGAGUUUGUGGGAUUCCAUUGGAAUUCCUGAUGUUGUUUGAUAUCAAUGGAUAAAAUCCUGCCCCCGAGGUGACGCGCAGCAGCGGCGCCUCUGCCCCCUCCCUCCAUUGCUGCCCAAUGCAGGUACAUGGACCCCAGCCUCAACCCACCCAGAGGGGCUCUGUGCCCCCCUCAAUCCCAAAUCCCUGCUUCCCAAAUCCCCGAUCCCAGCUUGGCUGCCAGGAAGGGUCCCAGGGAAACUGCCCUUGUCCCCAGGGAUUCCUUCCCCUCCCAAAAACCAGGGUGAAACUCAAGAUGCUCCAUGUCCCUCCUGCAGCGAGUGCUGGGGAAGCUCCCAUAUUCCCAGGGCUCUUCCCAGCCCUAUUCCUAAGGGUUUACCCCCAAUUCCCAUAGGCUUAGCUCCAGUUUCCAGGGCUUUAGCCCCCAUUUCCAGGGCUUUAGCCCCAGUUCCCAGGGGUUUAGCUCCAAUUCCCAGUGGUUUAGGCUCAAUUCUCAAGGGUUUAGCCCCAAUUCCCAAGGUUUUGGCCCCAAUUCCAAAUUGUUUAGCUCUGAUUCCCAAAGGUUUAGCCCCAGUUCCCAAGAGUUUAGCUCAAAUUCCUAGGGUUUAGCCCUAAUUCUCAAUGGUUUAGCCCUAAUUCCCAGGGGUGUAGUUCCAAUUCCCAAGGGUUCAACCCCAAUUCCCAAGUAUUCAGCCGCAAUUCCCACCUUGAGCAGCCUCUCAUGGCAAUUCCUGCUCUGGUGCUGGUUCCCCUCCCCACAACAGCCCAGGUCGUGCUGUGCCAUUGGCUUCACUUGGCCAAGCUGGGGCUGCUUAAAACUUCAUCCACCUCCCCCCAGACACCUCCCCCUGGCUCCAAAUCCC
ensembl:lncRNA